GGGCCCGUGUGCCGCGCGCGCCGGCCCGACCGUCUUAUCCGUUAAUAAACAGACGUUCGGGUCUCCGUCGCAUUGAGCAACGACAACAUCUGCCCCUUUAGGCAACGCGCUGGGCACCAGCUGGGUUUGCGGCCGGAGGGGUUUGCUGCAGGCUCCCCGUGGGGGCAGGAUCCUACCACCUGUCUGUCUGUCCAGUCGGGCACGGGUUACUGCCAGAAGACACUUGUAGUCAAGGCAGAUACAUUAAAACUCCUCGCAAAGUUAUAAUACUCAGCCCUCGAGUGGGCGCACCCCAGAGCAGUUGUCACCUGAGUGCACCUCAUCAACCCCUGCACCAGGUAGGGAUGGAGAAACCAGCCAAAGCAGCUCUAGGCCCUUCCCUUGCACCUGUGCUCUGGUCACCAUCUAAGUAGAAGAAAAGCUUUUCCAUGAUUAAAGGCAAUUUUCUAAAGCAUCUUUACCAUUUUGGUGCCGAAGCCGCUCACAAUGUUCAGAAAGCACAUGUAUCUUUGCAAGCAGAUGCACACAGCUUUUAUUUCUGCCCCGCAGAAGUGCUGAUGCAGGUGCUGUAACAUGGUAUCUGUGGGAUAGGAGUCUGCAGGGACCAGCCACAGAACUGAGGUGUUGAUUUUGGUACUGUUUACAGAGUGCCAAGGCUACAGCCCCACUCCUGCAGCAAACUGCCAGUCCCUUGUUUUUAGAGUAGGAUGUUCCACACUCUGGACACUGUCUAUCUGCCAGUUUGGCUGCUCUUUGAGCUUCCAGCUCUACACAGAUCCCGCCACUGCUGAGCUUCUGCAGCCUCAGAUGACACUAAAAUGGGAGCUGAGGGGUUGGACCAUCCCCUUGCUGCAGCUCCAGCAGCACCUGCAGCUCCUGCCUAUUGCAACAGGACAUGUGGGUGAUCAGGAUCAGAUCAGGUCACAAACAGCUGCAGUGCAUGCACCUACUGUACAUCCCACAUUUUUAAGCUGUUUCAAGCAGUUCUGCUCUUACUUUCCCAUCUUCUCCAAAGCUGAGCUUUUAAAAAGUCCUCCAAAACAGUGUGUUGCUACAGUCACCACUUCUGGAACUCAAGGUGAGGAUGUCCCAUGCCACUAUGUCCGUCCUGAGAGGGACAGAGCUACUGGCACUAGAGGAACAGCAAGGGUGACCCCUUCAAAACCUGCCCACUCCAGCUGUGCUGUCUGAGAGACACCAAACAAAAUGUUUCUGGUCCACAGAGCAAUACCCUACACACAGACUUCUUUCUGGGUUCAUGACAUUAAUAAUGCCGCCUUAAACUUGCCCUGAGCACUUACUGUUUCCAUCUGCCUCCUCCAAAGCUGGGAUGCUGCAGUGGCAGAGCACAUCUCCGCUGGAAGCUAAAGGACAGGCUGCCAGGGAAACGUGCAGCUCUCCUGAGCCCAUUUAGGCACUUUUAAGGACAAGCCCACUACUUCCAGAAAACCAUCCCUAAUCGUUCUUGUCCCAGUAAAGGCUCUCUGAGCGCAGCACUGCCCCACAACAGCACAGAGGGAGGGGAUCUACCCCAUGCCACCCACUGCAGCCGGGUUCAGCAACAACCCGCAUCUCACAGACAAACGAGAUGAUUCAGACACAAGGUGUGCAGGUGAAAUUUCAGGAAUGGGGCUAUUCCUGUCAGAACACAGACAGAAAAAACAGGGUCAAUGCCCUUGUUAUCUGGCUAACCACAUUGCUGCACCGUGCACGGUCUGUCCAGCGAUACUGGAUGGUUGGGAGAGCAGGGGUUAUGUGGCACUGGGUGCUGCAGGAGCAGGGCCCACACAGUGGUCCCAGAGAAUUAACCAGUCAUCUUGGAAAACCUGGCUUUGUUCCUCAACACAAGCAUCAGGAGGCGAUUUUUCCCUCACUGACUCACUCGAUCCUCUCCUUGCAUGUCCAAGCCAGCGUGUUUGCAGCAGCAGAGGGGAUGUGCAUGAAGCAGCCUCGUGGCUCUGAUCCCACUGUACGGCAACGGGUCCCACGUGAAGGGUUGUCCCAGAAGACACACUGCUCUCUGCUAAACAUAAAAGGCUGCCAAAGCUCUGGCUGCUAAACCUGACAGCUUGGACACUGCUCCAGAAGGCCAGUGCUGAGGCACACGUGACUCAUUUAUGAAGUGUAUACUACCUUUUUUUGUCCUCAAAUACUGUUAGGCAGAAAUUCCCCAGCAAUGUGCUUUGUUUCUUUGAUCACGGGAUUGCUACUCUUCUUCCCUUGGGGAAAAACAUGCCCUAAAAACAAACAAAUGCUGCACUGGAAGUAAAGAGCCCACUCCUUUGAAACCUCUGGAGAUACACUUAGAGAGCUGUUGGAAGACACAUGCUCAUCCCUAAAAACCAAAGCUAUCCUGAGCCGUGACACUGAAGGACACCAAGAACUCUGCAGCAACCCCGGACUUCAGUUUCACAACCUUGCAAAUAUUUUCCAAGCUCCUAAUCUUACAAAUAAGUGGAACAGAACAGGCAACCACUAUCAGCAUGUGAAAACACAGGGCUUUCUCUGCCAGGGCUGGAUCAGCUACUGAUGAAUUCCAAUCCUGCUCUGGGACAGCCACUUCUUUCCACUGACAGUGCUCGAUUUACUCAAAUCACUUUGGUGAAGCCUCCAGCCUUCCCAACCACUGACUCAAACUCUUGUUGGUUUUGCAGAUCUGGAAUAAUCCCUUUGGCCUCAUGGCAGCAGGCAGUGUGAACCUUGCCUGUGUAUAUCCGAUCUGAAGUGGGACUGAAGUCACAGUUUCAAGUUUUAUCCCAGAGUGCCAGUAGGAUCCUGUAAUCCCAUGGCUUCGAGAAAGCUUUAAUUAAAAACACAGAACCAGUGAAAACCACCAUCAAACCAUACACACCAGUAAUGCCUGGCUACCUGCUUACAUGGAUAUUUGGACUAACUUCCAGCAGAAAAGGCACAAGAUGAGUUCUCCUCUACACCUAGUCCAAUUCCUUCUACAUCUGGCUAUGCACCCCUCCUGCACAUAAGCCACCACAGCUUCUUAAUCUCUCUUUUGGGGUGACAACUGUCAUUUUCAAUGUGACGUUCAGUCGAUAGGAAGCCUCCCACCAUCAGCUGCAGACCUGAGGCCAGACCCUCUGUGAGCAACACAGGGAGGAACAGCAUUCCAGGACGAGGUGGGAGUUUGCAGUCUGGCAUUAGAACACGGCUCUCACAUGCAGGGGGGUUACCUCUCCAUCACCCUUCGCAGGUGGCCCUGAGCUUCUUCAGCCCACAGUCUCACUCCCUGGCUGCUCUGAGUCAGCCUCGUGCCACAUAAUUGCAUAAAUUCAGCGCUAAGCCUGAACUAAUAGAGCCAGGCUCUCACGGGGCUUAUCAGCUGGGGCUGGGUGCUGCAGGGGCUCAGCACCUUCCCCGCUCCCGGCCGGGUGAUGGCGCGGGUCCAGCCGGCUCUGAGCGGGAGCGCAGCUCCCUCGCAUCCGCUGGCAAAAACGCAUGCGAGCUGCAAGAAGUACAGCCCUGGAAAGCCUGGAAAUCUGACAGCUUUUUGUGUAGUAAUAAUGCAAUUCAAAAAAGACUAUCGGGAUUGUAUAAAUAUUUGUACAGACACUUAUCGCUGUAGCACUCAGACGCUCGGUCCCCCUGAAUCAGCUGAUCGGCUCCCAAGUCCUCGCCUCCAGUCUGCAGAGCUCCGCUAAACCAAAACCGUGCAACCCCAGCGUAACCAUCCACACAGCGAAACAUAAAGCCUCUGUUUAUAUAAAUAGUCUCCAGUCUCCACCCUCCCUGCUUGCUGGGAGGUUGUCAGCAAAAUAAAAUAAAAAGCGGGAUCGGAUUCCCAGCCCACUUAGAAAGAACGCGAGCAGGAUGUAUGUUUUAGCCAAGGAAUUAAUUAAUUAUUAUUAACACAAUGAAUGCUCGCUAGGAAAUGUUUGUACUUUGCCACUGUAAUUAAAUAUUCUCACUCAUGCAGCUCUCAGCCUUCAGAAAUUAGUAUUGCAUUUUAUAGUCCAGUUUGUUUUUUUUUUUUUAAUAAGAAAGCACUUUCACACUGAAUUUUUCAUUGUCUGCUGGCAUACAAAGACAGGAGAAGGCCUCUUAACAUUCAUGCCCAUUUGCCUUUCUGAACAAUUACAAAUACUUUUUUCCCAGCAGUUUUCAUAAUGAAAUGUCCUCUCUCCUUUUUGCUCCAGUACAAGCUUGAUCUUGAUGAAUAAAGUGGGUCCCAUCACCCUGGGUGCCUCUCUCUGCACAUCCGCUGCUUCUGUUUCCACCCCUGUGAGCUAAACCACCAGGUUGCUUUAUGAGCAGGUACCUAUGCAAGGCUUCUCAGGGAAAGCUUGUUCAAGAAAGGACUGCAACACCUAACCCUAAUGAAGGGCUGGUUUCUAAUCCCUUUACUCAAGGUCUAUUUGCUUCAGCCAGCUGCUCACGAAAAACAGGCAGCAGAAUCCAGCCCUCCAUCUCCCGUGAAAUGGGUCAAAGACACGCAGGAUUAUUAGUAAUUUGGAAAGAAAGCACCCAAGACGUAAUGUAAUUCCACCACUAGAUUUUAUCGCUCUUACUCACAAUGAGCAAAUAGCAGGGGAAUCACUGAGCAGAGGCUGCUCACCCUCUCUCAAAAGGAAACCAGACCCAGCUCCUUCCUGCUGCAGCCACCUCCGGAGCCAACCAGAGCCGCCGCCAAAGCCACGCAGCCCCGGCUCCCCACAUGGGUAACUAACCACCAGACCAGGUGAGCUUCACCUGCCUCACCCUUCCCACAAAAUAAAAGGCACUAGAGCUCAGGUUUGGGGAUUUAAUUUCUUCUCUUUACCCUCAAAUGGACAUGAGCAAUCGCUCCGUUUUGCCAUCCCCAGCCAUCAUUGAUUUAGCUAAUGCUCCGUUCCAGCAGGAAACAUCUUAACUCCGAAGAUCUGAUGAUUGCCCCAGCAAUCAGCUGUUCAAAUAGUUGAAAAUUAAGACUAUUGCACACAAAGUAAAUUAAGUAAUUUUCUACCCUCCUAGGGUCUCCCAAGUCUAUCAGAUUUCCCACGACUGGUAUGUCAUGAUGCCUCAUUACUGUAAAGAAAAUACAGCUCCGUGAGUCAUUUAAGUGGCCUACCCUCAAAGACUCAGGAAAAAAAAGAUCUUCACAAACACAGAUCCCACUGCAAAUGUAACAAACAGCAGAAGACAAUCAGCACAACUUGUUUAUUUACUCCCAUGCUCAAUUCUCAUGGCUUAGGCUGCACAAACCUCUGAGAACCUCAAAAAGGGUGUAUGCAGCUGUUCUUUAUCACACCAACUUUGUCAACAGUGAUGGUUUUGUUCACAAGGAUGCCAGCAGAAUCAGGGGUGAAGAAGAUGCCUUCCAACCCCAAAAGACUGCAAUCUGAUCCUAAAGCAGGUACCACUUCAGCAUCCUUAAUACAGCAGUCCUACCUCUCGGUCUCCUUCCUAAAACUAAGUAAGCAAGGCAGCUUUUGGGCAGUGACUGGUUAUUUCCAAAUAAGCAUUUUGAACUCAGCCUGCAAAUACUCCUCCUAAAACACCAUGGGAUGCUCUGUUAGCUUUAGUCAUUAAAACAAGCCUUCAGCAUGGGGAUGGUGCUGCGCCGCUUCCCGACGCUCCCUGGAUCCCUUCCACCCUGGCUGAGGCAUCUCAGAGAGGUUUUGUUCCCAAGCUCAAACAAGCUGGAAUCACUCCCAAGCAUUUGGAAACCUUGAACUGAGCAGUAAGCACUCGGCAUUAUGGAAAUCACCUGGUGGAGGCCACUGUAACUUCAGUUUUACGUUAUGACUUCUCUUGAAACCCUCUGAUUUUGAACUACAUUUUUCCUUUCAGCACAAGUUCUCCUGUUGGUCUCCAGCCAGAUGUGAGCUUUUGUAAGAUGAAAAAAUAUAAAUCAGUCACUUAAUUUCAGCUAAAAAUAGAGGGCACGGGAAAACCCCACUGAUAAGAGGUUUUUAAAGCAGUCACAGGUUACCAUGGGAGGGGACAAACAGCCACCCCAUGUUCACAUGCAAAUCAGGCCCUCAAAGAACUGAGCCUUUACAGAUCAAUGGGGAAAGUAAGGGGAAAAGAAAGCAAAUGCCAUUAACACAGUUAAAUAUUUUAGGAUGUGCUUCAAAGCACAUCCAGCGAUCACUCUGCACUUCAGCAGAAGCUGGUCCGUGAGGCCAAGUCCCACCACAGAGGUCCAUCAGGACACAGGGGAAACCCCACCUUUGACCUGAAAGAUGGGGAAGAAACUGAAGCUCUUGGGUUCUGCAAUACCAAAGAAGGCUUUCUGGAAAGUCUUGACUUUCUGAAAACACCAGCCACGACUGCCCCAACACCAGAUUCACUGAAAGCACCUUGACCUGAGAAGCCACGUUUCAACACUACUUGUCCUUUUGGCAUGGGCUGGAAGCACAUGUCAGCCCUUCAAGACAAGAGGCACAGUAUAGGUAAGGAGGUCAGAGGUUGGGGAAGAAGUAGGCACCCACUGCCCAAACAGCAAGGCCUGUCACCAGGAACUGUGCCAACGCUCCUACGGACUCCUUGCACACACCUUUAGCUACUAAUUCCUCUGGUUCUGCAAGCAUGGACCGCAUCAUCCCCUUCUGCUUCUCCAGGCUCUGUCUGCACUCACAUCCCACCUCGAUUCCAGCCACUGGCGAAGCCACACUCACAAAAACCUCUUGCACAGGCAUUGAAUCUCCUGUCUGGAUCAGGAAACUUCCUCUAGUCUCCACAACCAGAAAAAUGCCUUCCUUUCAUCUGUGCAGGUGUUUUGCAUUAGCACAGAAGCACCACUGGCUGUUACCGACAUCAGCACCUUCAUCAGGAGGAGAUGCCCCGGUUGGCCCCAUUUGCCAUGUUUGGGUUCAGUGCAGCGAGGAGUUUUUGUGCAUUUUUAUCAGGUGCUUUGCAAGGGAAACCAAGCGGAAUGCUUCACCCUGGAGUGUGCCAGACGUUCCCCGAGCCCCGCUGCAGGCACAGGAGCCCAGAGCAGCGCCAGAUCCCAGGGCAGAGCUCCCAAAGACAGCACCUGGGACCUAAUCCCAGGUGUACAAAAGGCCGCAAGACAAAACCUGGGUCCAAACAAAAGCUGAGCAGAAAAUCUAUAUGCUGCAGAAAGCAAUGAGUAAGACUGGGUAGAAGAACACAACUACUCCUCAGCCAUCUGCUAAAGCCUUGGGGUGUUAAGACAGGGUGAUCUGCACAUUUAUUUCUGCUGUCACCAGACCCCUGCCUCAGCCAUGCCCUGUCUAGGGAUGAGUGGAGUGAUCACCAACUCAGAAAAGGUGGGAUUUGGGGGAAAAAAACCCCACACCUCGGUUAACCAUCCCAACCCAGGUAAGCACCAGGGAGAGGCUUCAAGUCCCCCCACACAAGUGUAUGCACAAAACAGAUGGAAAGAUCCCAGUGCUCAGCCCAAAGCAUUUCUCCUGGCUUGUCUGCAAUACAAAAGCCUGAGAAAUGCCAGGGGCCUGCUCUGCCACCAGCUUAAUUCCAAGAGCUUCCCACUGUCUGGAUGUUUAGGUGUUGCAUAUCCCCCCUCUCUUCCUCCUCCACCCUUUCCAGCAUGCAGGCACCCAAAAGGAGAUCGCCCACCGUGGCACAAGAAUGUUGCACAAGCUGUGACUCUCCUCUGGUUCUCCCUUAUCUAUCCCUGAGCCCUGAUAAAAACCCACCUAUGACCUCCUGCUCCUUUUUAUUUAUAUUAUUUUUUACCUUUGAAACCAGACUAGCUCAGCUCUCCAGAUCCUAAAAGGGAGCUGCAAAAAGCCCAGUCCUGCACCUGCUAGAAAUGCCACAACUUUGGCAUUUUGCUUGGAAAUGGGUGCACACAAAAGCCAACACAGUGUAAGCAAAACCAAACAGCGCCAGAGAAGUUUCUCCAGUCCUCUCCCAACCAAGUCUGCUAUUCUUGGGCACCGUCAAACUGAAGGAAUCUUCCCCCUCUCUCUCCUGACAAUACGUUAUUUGUACAUGUUUAUGCUGAGGAUUAAAUCCCCAUCCGGGCUGGAGAGCGUGGUUCAUUCACAGCUUCUGCUCCUCAGCGGUGCUUCCUCCAAGCUGCCUAUCCAGGGCUGUUUUGCAGCUCCCUGGACAGAGAAGGCAGCCCACGGCCAGAACCUGCGGGUACAAUCCGGUACAGCAGCUGGCAAGCCUGGGAAAUCACUUAGUUCAUGACUGCAAGGACUUGGUUUCAGCCGGACAAACAUUUUCUCCGCGUUGACCAACGCACGACUCUCUGCACGACUCUCUGCCCUCCUGCAAAGCACCAGCUCUCUCCUUAUCUCUCCAUCAGGACUCACAGGGGCCGUUUUUCCUACCCCAGGGCACUGGAUGAGGCCAAGCAGACGCCCAACCAGGUAACUCCCUGAGAGCUCCCACUACGGGAAGGGGAACCCAGAGAGGUUCCCACCACCAGCCAGGACAGUGCCCAAAACCCCAAGCGACUGCACGCACUGUACUCCUGGUGAAAUACCCAAUUUCUCCCUCAAAAACACUCAGUGGAGUUUCAAUUCCCCGCCAGCAGGCUUGAAUAACAUUUUAAAUGCCAAGAUUUAUAUGCAGACACUUAUAAAUGUGUUCCAUUAUAGCCUCUGCAAAACUACAUUUCAACCUAAACAUUCAAUUAAUGUAAUUAAAUUGCUACCUGGCGGUAUUAUCUAAUUUCACUUCGGAUCUGUGCUAUUGAAAAGCAUGUGUCUUUUAGCACUCCGACUGGCAAGACAUGUGAUAAACAGACCUAUAAACAUGUUGGCUCAACCGAGCUGUUUAAAAAUAAAUUAGCAAACUAUAAAAAUAAACAGUAACAUACAUAUGUACUCAAUUAUGAACUAACUCUAAUUUUUGUUCUGAAAUACUGUCUUUGACCUUAGUCAUAAACAAGCACUAUUAAAAAAACAUAAUAUCUCAACAGACAGAAGGGCAGGGAUUAAACGCUCGUCGCGCGCGGCGGAAUGCAAAAUAAGGGAUGAAAAGAAAGAAGAAAAGAAAGAAAAAGGGGGGUGGAAAAAGCUCACCCUUUAUUAAAUGCAGCAACCUAUACCCACCGCAAGCAUUUAUGCUGAUUAAAGCUGUUUGGAUUCAAGACAAAAAACUUAAAGCCUACAGAAGUGCCUAUGGUUAAAAACUUUGUAAGGUUCAGGGGGAGGAAAAUAUCGUUUUAGCUUGUGUGGGAGGGAGGGCAGCAUGGGUCCCACAGAGCCACCCGUGGCCUUUGGCUGUCCAGGUGCAAACCCUGCUACUGUCUUGCAAGAAUUCAGCGAGCCAAGAACAUGUGGUAGAAAGGUAGGAACCACCACACCAGAGCAGAGGGGGAAAAACAAACAAACAAACAGAUUUUUUUGAAGACUGUAGAGGAGUGUCCAGACCACGUUUUUGCCAUUAAUUCAGCGCUCCCGCAAGAAAAGAAUGAGGCAUCAUGCUAUGACUGUCAGCACUGUUCUGUUUUCUCUGGGAAGAAAGGCAGGAAAGGAGGAAGGAUGAAAUGCUGAUGCACAAAAGGCACAUUUUGCACCCAGGGAUAUUUUCAAGGCUUUCAGGCUACACGGCAGGCACCAACGUCCCUCCCUGUGCCCACAUGUGCACCCAUGUGUAAAACCUCACAAGAGACCCAAAAUCAACAGCAAAAGCAGUUAAGCAACUGCUAAGCUCAAUCAUGGAGAAUCAGCCUAAGACACCGUGGGGCUGUCUCCCCAAAAACACUUAUAUAAAUAAACAAUAGGAGGCAACUCGUGUUCAUCAACACAUGGGCACAAAAACCAGGCAGAGAGAGGCGGGUGGAAGAAAGGCUUUGCCCCAGGCCAGCUCCUCGCCAGCAGGGAGUCACGUAGACUCAGCCCCGCAGUCAGUAACGAGGCAGGGUCUGACAUUUCCACGAACAAGAAGGGCUGCCAGUCGCUGAGACACAAACAAAACACUCACAAGGCGUGUUUUUUCAAGGGAUGCGACAGGAAGGGCCCACAGGAGACGGUGACAGCAGGCAUCUUUUUUUUAAUCUUUGUUUUCCCAAGGACCUCCUCAGCAGCAGGAAGCAGGAUGCCAGAGAGCUCCGUGCACUGGUGGAAACACCAACUGGAUGGUAAAGGAGGGUGGAAAUGGACUGCCAGGGCUGUGCCAGGUCUCAGGAAGACCACACAGCUUAAGCAGUGUGGGAGUCACUUCCAGCCACCAGAGCUGGCACACGCUGCUGCUUGGUGGGGAGCAGCAAUGGCCUCUCCUCUACAGACCUCAAUGCUCAACAAAUCCAAAAGGAUUCCCCUUAAUUUCUGGAGCAAAUAUUUGCCGGUUCCUAAACCCCUUUGGUUUUUUCCUAUUUUUUCUUAUUUUUGUUUUUAUUCUGCAAAUAAAUGUCUGCCAUUCCCUCAACCAACUGCUGGACGCUGCUGCUCAGGAAUGACCAUCAAUGAUCAGUCAAAUAUCAACCAGCGGAGCAGCAGUGCAACCCAGAGCUGCUGUCAGUGCAGUCACUUUACAUCUCAUACACCUGGACACACCAGCCCCUUCCAGGAUGUUACAGUCAUGUCUCAGUCCACACCAUAGCUAUCCCCUCCCUCUUCUUUCAGAGUUGGGUCUCUCUCACACAUUAUAAGAGCAAAACAAGAAUAAUAUAGGUCCUGUCUGGACUAUCUGCUCCCUUCUGCUUUCUCUGGCAAAAGCCUUGUACUUGAAGCCAUGUCCCAAAGCACCUCCCCAGCCCAGAGUGCACCCUGACCAAGAAGAGACAACAAUUAAAAACUGCAAUUAAAGCAACACUCCAGUUUGAAAAUGAACACCAUUUUCUGCCCAUCCUCCUGCUCUGUUACCAAUAAAACACUUACAGACACUAUUCAUGCAGACAUAAAGUGCUAAUGGCUACCUGUUAACGUGUUUCAUCAUGCCAACAUUUUUGCUCUGAUUUUGACAGUUCCCUUUUUGUUAUUUCAAACUAAGGGAGCACUAAUCUGGGUUGGAACUGAAGGCUGCAAGAAUUACAAUCUACAGCAACUGCACAACUAAUGACACCAUUUCCUUCCACUCUGCACCAUUUCAUGGACAGUUUUCUUGCAGCCAAGCUCCUUUCCAAACUAUAAGAAGUUGGAAGUGCAGGAGCAUAGAAGUAGGGUGGGAAGAUUGUAAGGUGUUGCUAAGAAGUCCCAUGAAUUCUUGGCCCUGCCCUAUGUGUUUGGGGGCCAAUGUGGGGGAAAAGAGCAAUGUGAACACUAAAAUCAAACAUACUGGGAAAGUCACUUUGAAUGGCUUAAGGAGAAAAAAAAUAAAGUGGCCGUUCUUAUAUGACUUCAGGGAUGUGUCUUCAGGGUUAGGACAACUGCUGGUGCAAAUUGGCCAUGUGAUUUACACCUCAAGGGCUGCCCUAGGUGUGACUACAGGUGGUUCACCAGCUCUUCUGGAUGUGGAAAGAACAAAACUCCCUGGGUGUCACCUCAGCAGUCGCUGACUCCAGCUGGACAUUUGGACAGGUACCUAACGCCUGGUGUCCUCCACACUCAAAAAUGUGCUGGGCAUGUCUCUGCGUGCCCCACAUGAGCACACACUGAGAAUACACCUACUGACAUCCACGGUGUUACAGCAGGUGAAAAUCUGCUUGUGUGGAAGAAGAGCCUGGUCCUCUGUGAUUACCAACAGCACGGGUCAGAGCCAUGAUCUGAUUUUCCACGGAGCAGGAGAAGAGCAGAAACUCUCUGGUCUCCAGAGCAGUUGCAGCCCUGCAGAGAUACCCAGCGGCUUUGAGCAUACACAGAGGGAUAAUUCCUUUCCCCAACUUUGCAAUUGUUUGUUAGAGCAAAUUAAGAUUGCUAACAAGUCUUACUGGAGCCCAUUGCAAGGAGGUUAAGAAACACGACUUAUCUGAUGCAAUCAGCAAUGUAAUGCAACCUCCCAAGCCCCAGUUCAGGUAAAAUAUAUGCAAGUAACCAAAAGGGAUGGGCAUAACCUUGAGGGAAGAGUUGGGGAUGCUCCAAUCCAACCUGCAGUGCCAGAGAGGAAAAACAAGAGAGCACAGCAUGGAACAGAGAAUUCCCUACCUGCUUGGUGUCUUUUGCUGCUUCCAAGGACUCCCACUCUGUUCAGGCCAGAAAGAGGACACCGGUUUGGAAGGAUCUCUGGUCUGACUCAACAUGGGUAGUUUUUAAUUUUUUAUGAAAGAGACUGCUCUGCAGUACAAGGUGAGGAAGACCUUUAUUUGUUGGGCUGAAAGGUAAACAUGGUUGAAAGGUAAACAUUCACCUCCUAAGCCUUCUCAUUUGAUUGCAGCAUCACAACAGGUUGAGGCUGCCUCAUCUGCAGACCCCUUACACUCCCGGGAUCCUGACCAUGAUGCUCCCAGGAUCCUGACCAUGAUGCUCCCAGGAUCCUGAUCAUGACAGGAUUUAAAAGCCCUUUGUUGGGCUGUGUUACAUGGUGUGAUCUAGAAAGCCGUCACAGCCGAGGCACCGUGGGCUUUCGGCUGCGCCGACGCUCGGGCUCCCCCCUUGCCUACACUGGACUUUGAGAAGGCGUUGAGCCAGCUCAGAUAAGUCAGCACUUUCUAUCAACACCCCUUCCAAGCCAAGCUGCACAUUGCGACGCCUCUUCCAGCACGGGCUGGUGGAGCUGGGCUUCACCCUGGCACAGCUCCCAGACAAAAGGUGGGCUGCUCCACCAUGCUGCUCCAGCAUGCUGGCCCACUCUCAGCUCCCCCCAGGUCCUCUCCUGGCAGCGUCCUUCCCAUCCCAAACACAAACAAAUGAGUGAGGAGCAGGUGACAGAAGCGUAACAGAUGCCUAAAAUGGUUUAGAGUGAUCUACGAGCAUCUUUUGGUUGUAAUGCUCCAUUAAUGUGACAUUUAUGUGGGGUAAUAUAAUACCGCUCACUUAGGAGCACCUACACCAGCCAGUCAGGUUUCUGUGUGCACAAAGGAUGAUGGGGAUAACUGGGAUGGUUCUCGCAUGACCAGAGACCCUACAGAUGGAGUUACAGGGGACAGGAGGCACCACUGCUCAAAAGGGACAUGCUGGGUCUCUCCCUGAGGGAGUGGAGGACAGAGCAACGUCUCAGGAGGCAGAACGAGAGAGCCACAAAUGGGGAAAAAACCUGGCUUGAACCUAUGGAGCUGAACAGUCCCUCUCUGCAGAAUGGGAAACACAAUAUCUAAGGAAGGUCUGCCCCAGUCCAAAGGCACAGCCUUGCUGUCAUCUCCAUGCAUCCAUCUGAUUUCACAGCAUGCAGUGUUACACUCUGUAGCUAAAUCCACCUCUAAUGUCACACGGGCCUUAUAAGGGCUCCUGUUUUGUUACCCUGAUUUAUAAACACCACUGCAGUGGGCUGGAGAAGGGAUGGCCUCGCAACCGCAAGCCUUCGUUAUCCCCCACAAAUGACUUGUUUGCAGCUCUUGAACUGCCUAAUUUAUUUUGCCCCUACGUUUUGGCCAUCCAUCUAGUCUUUUCCUAAUGGUGCUCCGAACGCUGACACUUUGGGAAACGUCUAAAAUGCUGUAACCCUUACAUGGCCCCGCAGAGGUGAAAGGACCAAGGGCAACCGCUGAAUCUUCCCAGAACAACAGAGGGAUCAUCCAUCUCCUCUUCCCUCCUCCCCGCCCACCACUCCACCCCAGGCACUGUUCCCAUCUCAAUGUGCUUGAGCAAAGCACAAAACGAGGCGAGAUGUGGCCACCUCAGCACCUCUGGAUGUCGAAGGCCACAGACUGUACCCGGUGACCUGGAAGGUGUCCCCCCCUCAGACAUUUGCUCCUACAGCUCUGCCUCUAAGAAAAACCAUCAGAGAAAAAAAUCACAAGGCCGGUUGGGUUUGGGCUGUGGCAAUGCCAUUUGGAGAAGAAGCGGGAAAAUCAAUAGGUACAGUCUGCAUUUCGGGCAAAUGGGGAAGGAAUUUAAAUCAAAAUCGAGUCUGAUCAAAAACUCAAGUCAACAGAAAGAGUUCCACGGAUUUGGCACCAGGUUUCAUCAUUUAGGUGCUCACUGAGUAGAAAAUGAACAAUCAGCACUUUGGAAUAAAUGCAACAAGUAUCACAGGGUGUUGUCACCAGCCUUUUGUGGGACACCCACGAAUCCAGAAGAGGCAUCUAGUGUCACAGGGAAAAUGCUGAGGACACAGAAAGUGUCACCGAAGGACAGGCAGAACAAACACAGAACAAACUCCUACCAACAGAUUAAAUUCACGUCGCGGUAUUUUACCCGCAUUUUGCACUAGUCAGAUACCUUGAAAUAUGUGCACGCAACCAGAGCCACGACACCAGACCUUUAAAGACCUGAGAGCCGCAGAUUAAAAACAUGUUGGAACGCUUACCGUGUCCAGUGCCAAAAAUGUGUCUCUAACCUGUAGGAAGAAAUGGGUGUGGAGCCGCUCACAGAACGAUCGCUGCACUCACACGGCAGGGUACAACGUCCCCCUCUUUGUUUCUCCCUCGUGAGAAAAAACAGCGACUAAAACAUGACCGAGGAGCUGCCUCAGCUCCCCAAAUUUUUUGAGAAGUACACAGAUUCGGAUGGGAAAAUGAGGUGGGAAUUAGAGAAAUCCCACGUAAUUCACAAAGACUGAAGCCACUUUGCCACGGACCAACAUGAACCACUGAUCUCAGUGCUCAGUUGGUGCUUGCUGCUUCUUUUUGGGGACUUCAGUCAGCUCCUGCAUGGCACUGAAGCGCUGUGAGUAGAUAUAAAAACGUACACAAAGCCUAAAAGUAUUUCAUUGGAAUUGAAGCUCAAUUUACAGCUCCCAAGACUCAAGGGUGUGUUUGAGCAGCUCUUUGUUGCAGGGUUUUGUCAAGGUAUGUUCUGACUUGUCCCCUGCAUGGUUGUGCAGUAAUUCUUGAUACUGAUAGUCAAUUACUUUGUUCACGUCACUCAAACACAGGCUUUUUUUUUCCCUUUCUUUCUCUCUCUCUCUCCCUCUUGGCACGGCUAAUCCGGGAAAGACAACACAGAGCUGAACCACUGCUGCCAAAGGCAUGAACUCCUGGCCAGUUGGGGUGGUGCUGCCCUCCAGCCCUGCCAGCACAGGUAGCAAAGUGACCUCUGGAGCAAAGAGCCCUCCUUAUCUCUCUUAAAAUACCAGUGGGCCCAGGCUCCGAAAACUUCCUUCCCGACGGGAUAAGCACUUACCCAGGUAAUCUCAUUACAGCCAUUGUUCUCUGAAGGUUAAUAAAUACUUACCAUGAUGAGUAAAGGCUCCGCAAUCUGACCCCAACAGCAGCAGAAGUGAUUGCUUAGGGCCAAAUUUUCACUCUUAUUAUGCUGAACACCAUAUUCCUCUGCGAGCAGAGCAGCGUUAGCACCAAAAUAAAUGUGACUGCUUGCAAAUAAGGUGUUGGCCCCACUUCUGGCCUCAAGUUUUUAUGUUGCCAUCACUGUGAGAGCUCUGAAAAUUAGCAGAUGCUGCCAGUUCUUAAUAAAUACAUGACUAAAUUAUUCUGAAAACAACAGAAAAAACAAACUAUGGAAAGAAUAAAAUUCAAGGAGACGCCUUUCUCUCCAAUUUCAACAUGCGGAAGAAAAUAAUUACAGGUUUUUGUUAAUUUAAGGAAACACUUUUUCUCCCAUCAGACAUGAGGUGUGAAUUAUGCAAAAAAAGAUUUGAACUUGACAGGGUUUACAUACUGCAGCCCCAACAACUAAUUUAAAUUUGAGAGUUACAGAAUGAAAAACCAGGUUUCCAAGAGCUUCUUAGAAAGAGCAGCAGCCACCACCUUCCACAAAGCCAGGCCAACAUACAUCAAGGUGGAGAGCAGCACAAUCAGCACUCUAUAAAAUCCUGCUCCUAACUCCCAGACUCCCAAAAUACAAUGGACGAGGAGGGCUUUCCAUACAAACAACAUACAUUUCAAAGCAACAGCACCAGAGGUCAGUGGGGAUGAUUAAAACACAUUAUCCACUUAUUGUAAAACAUCUACUGGCAAAAGGUGCCCAGAAAUCCAUAUGAAACCUCCAUCUUGCCACAACACUAAACAAAACUCUAAAUAAAGAUGAGCAGAUAACUAUUUUUCAAUGGAGGCUGUCAAGCUGUUGCACAGUCAUUAAUAAUUUAAACUUCACCCCCUUCAUUGGAGCUCCAUUUCCUAAUUUGUGUAGGACAUAAACCAGAUUUUCCAUUUGAUUUCCCAACAGAAAAUUCAGAGGGAAAAACUGCACUGAAAUAAAAUAAAAGAUGUUUAGAUUUUG